CACGUAGGGGGCGAGCGUUGUCCGGAUUUAUUGGGCGUAAAGAGCUCGUAGGCGGUUCGGCAAGUCGGGUGUGAAAUUUCGAGGCUCAACCUCGAAACGCCACUCGAUACUGCUGUGACUGGAGUCCGGUAGAGGAGUGCGGAAUUCCGUGGUGUAGCGGUGAAAUGCGCAGAUAUCAGGAGGAACACCAACGGCGAAGG
rnacentral:rRNA from 1 species